UCGAGGUGGGCUGUUCCCUAACGAACCUUCUUAAUAAGAAAACCCACAAAAAUACUUGUCAGUUAUGCAUCAUUCUCCAAAGUUUAUUAUGAAAUUUUCAACAUUACUUUUAUUAUACUAAAAUUUGUGAAGUCUUACAACAAAUUUACUACUCAAUUCAACACAGUAGUGACAAUUUCCCUCAACUUGUUACGUAAAUAAUCUGUAACUAAUUCAUAACAAAAAAAGAAAUAUAUUGGUUGGAUGGGACUACCCACAAAAAAAACAAAAAAAUAGUAUGGGCUUAAUCCUUGGCAAUGCACCGGGUCAUAGU